UUUCACCGCCUCUUUGUGACUCUAAGAGCAAAGUCCGCUAAACAAAGGCCAUGCGUUUUGUUCUAAACCUUUUUAUGCUCACUCUAUGCCCAGGUGCUGCGCUGGGUGAUUCGGUCCAGUCCAAGGAACCCCAAGUGUCUGAAGUAGAAGGAAGCUCGGUGACACUCAGCUGUUCCUACAAUACCACCGAUUCUAGGGGCGUCUAUCUCUACUGGUACCGACAGUCUCCUAACCGAGCCCCGCAGUACAUUCUGCGGAGAGGGACGAAGUUGUACACGUCUGACAGCGAAAAUGCUGGUUUCGCCCAGGAGAGGUUUUCUUCCCAGGCUGCUGACAGCUCCACAGUUCUCAACAUCAGAGCCCUGGAGCUGGCGGACACAGCGGUGUAUCUCUGCGCCCUGCAGCGGGCACAGUGA